GACGUAGGGCGCGAGCGUUGUCCGGAUUUAUUGGGCGUAAAGAGCUCGUAGGCGGCUUGUCGCGUCGAAUGUGAAAACUCGGGGCUUAACCCCGAGCCUGCUUCUGAUACGGGCAGACUAGAGGUAUGCAGGGGAGAACGGAAUUCCUGGUGUAGCGGUGAAAUGCGCAGAUAUCAGGAGGAACACCUAUAGCGAAGGCAGCUUACUGGGCUGUAACUGACGCUGAGGCACGAAAGUGUGGGGAUCAAACAGG
rnacentral:rRNA from 1 species